CGGACUUUGGAACCUGGCAGACUGGAUCGCAUGCCUCUCUCCAAGUGCACUGUGUGAGCCUCUGGCUCCUUAUUGAUAAGAUGGACAUGAUCACAACCACUUUAUAGAAUUAGUGUGAGGACUAAUUGAGAGAGUAAUAUGUUAGACCUUUGCUGCACGGUGGGAGCUCAACAAAUGGUUGUUGUAAUAGUCAUCAUCAUCGUCACUAUCAUCAUGUUUCAUCCUUAGUGUUCUGCGCCAGCUCCUGCCUGAGAUUUCUAGCCUGCUGGGCUGCCCUGAGGAUUUCUGACUUGCCAGCCCCAUAAUCACGUAAGCCAAUUCCUUAAGAGAAAACUAGAAGCAAUUUGUUGACGCUUGACGAGAGCAGUGGUCCACCGUCACCAUUUUG
rnacentral:lncRNA from 1 species